UGGCUGGCUGCCCCUAGGGAGCUUCAGGAUGGGGGUUGUCCCUGGGAAGACCAAGUCAGGGUCAGAGUCAUCAGGACCUUCAUCUCAGCUACCCAGGGAAGGGAGAGGGGCGUAGAUGAUGAUUUAGCUAAUCAUUAUGGAAUGUAAGCUUAUGUAAUGAAGCCUCCGUAACAAACCAGACGGGACAGGGUUCACAGAGCAGGUGGUAGCUGAGCCCAGGGUUCCUGCAGGAUGGCAUGCCCAGAGGGCGGCAGCUUGGCACCCCGCCCCACAAGCCUUGCCCCCAGCAUCUCUUCUUCUGGUGUUUGCUGGUAUCCUUUGCAGAAUCUCCUCUCUCAUAAACUGUAACAUUUAACGAAACUCUUCUCCAAGGUCCGUGAGCCACUCUAGCAAACCCAGGGCACCCGAGGAGGGAGCUGUGGGAAGGAAGCUCCACUGACGGCCACAUGGUCAGAAGCCCAGGGACAGCAACCUGGGGCAUGCCAUUGGCGUCAGAAGCAGAGGGACAGUCUUGGGGACUGAGCCCCCAACCUAUGGGAUCUGACACUGUCUCCAGAAUUACAGGAGUUAGAGGUCACCCAGCAGGUGUCUGCCCAAAGCUGCUUGCUUGCCGGCUUGUGGGGCGGGAGAUGGGAUGGGUAUUCUGAAAAAAUAGGGGAUGCACAAAGAAACAGGAAGGUGGACCCCUCUGGCAGUGGGUUCUCCCCACUCCCGGGGCUCAUUGCUCUGUUCUGUGUUAGCUGAUGAAGGACAGACCUCUGCGGCCACCCGUGACAGACAGCAUAGACUACUGAACUGGUUUAGAACAGUCACCAAACAACUCUAUACCAAAAGCAACAAGCCCCUGGGAGUGGCGGGAACCUGAUGGCCAGAGUUGUUACAUCAUCAUCAUCACCAUCAUCAUCAUUAUUAAAAAUGUCCACUUUAAAAAUAUUAGGAGAUAUGAAAAAAAAAGUAGGGAUCAUACACAGGAAAAUUCAACAGAUAUAAACUGUCUCUGAGGAAGCCCAGAUGUUGGAUUUACUCGACUUGAAGCCAGUUACUCUAAUAAGGCCAAAGAACCAAAGAACCAAACCCAAGAAGCUCAACAUCACCCAGCAUCACGGAAACGCAGCUCAAAACCAGGUGAGAAGCACCUCGGGCCGUGAAGACAGUCACUCAAAAAAUAAGCAGCAGCAAAAGAAAGUAAGAAACCUGGGGUCCAGGGUGUAGGGAAAUGGGGGUCCUGCACCCCGGGGUGGGCCUGUGGGAGGGGCGGCUGCCUGGAGACAGUGUGGCUGUUCCUCAGCCAACUAGCCCAGCCGCCUCCACCCAGGAGCCUACUUCAGGACAUAUUCAAGAGAACUUUGAGCAGGAUCCCAAAGGCUCAUUCGGGUACCCAUGGUCCUUCAUGGUAACCAAGAGGUGGGAGCGACCCAGUCACCCGUUGACAGAUGAGUAGAUGAGAGUGGCCAACACAGACAGGACAGAGGGAAGGAGCCCUGUCCCGUGCCACCCUGUGGCCAUACCGGGAGGCCAUUAGGCUAAGUGAGAUGCCCACCUGCCAAAAGACAAGUGAGUAAGACCCCACUUACAUGAAGUAUCUAAAGUACUCAAAUUAAUAGAAACAGAAAGUCCAACGGGGCCACGGGGGAGAAGUGGGGAGUUGUUCAGUAGGGUUCAGAGCUGCAAGACAAAAAGUUUCCGGGUCUGUAGCACACUUUAUUGAACCACACACUUAAAAACAGUUGAAUUUGUUGCUUUGUAUUUUUACUACAACUUAAUCGUGGUGUGUGUGUGUGUGUGUGUGUGUGUUGAAAGGGGUUUAACCCAGGCAGACUCUACCAUCUGAACUACCUCUGACUCUACCUCUUCCCAGCCCUGUUUUUUAUUUUAUUUUGAGGGCUUAAGAUGCUGGAGCUGGCUUUGAACUUGUGAUCCUCCUGCUUCAGUCUCCUAAGUUGCUGGAAUUACAGGCGUGUGCCUCCGCACCAGGUCCAUUUAAAGCUUUGAAUAAAACAAAGGUGGGCUGGGGAUGUGGCUCAAGCGGUAGCCCGCUCGCCUGGCAUGCGCGGGACGCUGGGUUUGAUCCUCAGCACCAUAUAAAAAUAAAAAUAAAGACGUUGUGCCCACUGAAAACUAAAAUAUAAAUAUUGAAAAAUUCUCUCUCUCUCUCUCUCUCUCUCUCUCUCUCUCUCUCUCUCUCUUUAAAAAAAAAGAAGAAACAAAGGUAAUGAAGUAUUGGUGCUAUCACAGCAGGGAUGGAUCUGGAAAACACCACGGUAAGCAAAGGAGGAAGGUACAGAAUACCUCAGGGCCUGACACAGGCGAUCCACAGAGGCUGCUGUGGGUCAGCGGUUGUCAGGGGCUGGGUUGGGGGAUGAGGAGUAACCACAGGCAGUGUUUCAGUGUGGGUAGGGGGUUAAAAUUCUGAAAUUAGAGAGUGGUCCUGGUUACACAAAAUAUACAAAACCUCACCAAAUUGUACACUUCAAGAGGGCUUUUUAAAAAGCACAUCGCUUAACAAUAGGAACAACAGGGGACCAGGGUGCAUUGCUAUAAAAAGAAUAAGACUGGCUGCUCCCUGGUCCCUGGCUCCUGUCCCACUGUGUGAUCUCCCCCUCAGGAUGCCAUCUGCCAUGCUGGGACACAGCCAAAGUGGCCCUCAACAGAGACCACGUAGAUGGGGGCCACCCAAUCUUGGACUUUCACCCUCCCAAACUGUAAGCUAAAUAAACCUCUUUGGGAGGUUAGAGUUGUAACUCAGUGGCAGAGCACUUGCCUAGCAUUCACAAGCUCCUGGACUCCAUCCCCAGCACCAC
rnacentral:lncRNA from 1 species